AAGUCGAGCGAACUGAUUAGAAGCUUGCUUCUAUGACGUGAGCGGCGGACGGGUGAGUAACACGUGGGCAACCUGCGUGUAAGACUGGGAUAACUCCCGGAAACCGGAGCUAAUACCGGAUAACGUUUUUUCUUGCAUAAGAGAACAUUGAAAGAUGGUUUCGGCUAUCACUUACGGAUGGGCCCGCGGUGCACUAGCUAGUUGGUGAGGUAACGGCUCAUAAAGGCAACGAUGCAUAGCCGACCUGAGAGGGUGAUCGGCCACACUGGGACUGAGACACGGCCCAGACUCCUACGGGAGGCAGCAGUAGGGAAUCUUCCGCAAUGGACGAAAGUCUGACGGAGCAACGCCGCGUGAGUGAUGAAGGCUUUCGGGUCGUAAAACUCUGUUGUUAGGGAAGAACAAGUACAAGAGUAACUGCUUGUACCUUGACGGUACCUAACCAGAAAGCCACGGCUAACUACGUGCCAGCAGCCGCGGUAAUACGUAGGUGGCAAGCGUUAUCCGGAAUUAUUGGGCGUAAAGCGCGCGCAGGCGGUUUCUUAAGUCUGAUGUGAAAGCCCACGGCUCAACCGUGGAGGGUCAUUGGAAACUGGGGAACUUGAGUGCAGAAGAGAAAAGCGGAAUUCCACGUGUAGCGGUGAAAUGCGUAGAGAUGUGGAGGAACACCAGUGGCGAAGGCGGCUUUUUGGUCUGUAACUGACGCUGAGGCGCGAAAGCGUGGGGAGCAAACAGGAUUAGAUACCCUGGUAAUCCACGCCCUAAACGAUGAGUGCUAAGUGUUACAGGGUUUCCGCCCUUUAGUGCUGCACCUAAGGCAUUAAGCACUCCGCCUGGGGAGUACAGUCUCACGACUGAGACUCA
rnacentral:rRNA from 1 species